rnacentral:rRNA from 1 species
CCUACGGGAGGCAGCAGUGAGGAAUAUUGGUCAAUGGACGAGAGUCUGAACCAGCCAAGUAGCGUGAAGGAUGACUGCCCUAUGGGUUGUAAACUUCUUUUAUAAAGGAAUAAAACGAGGCACGUGUGCCUUUUUGCAUGUACUUUAUGAAUAAGGAUCGGCUAACUCCGUGCCAGCAGCCGCGGUAAUACGGAGGAUCCGAGCGUUAUCCGGAUUUAUUGGGUUUAAAGGGAGCGUAGAUGGGUUGUUAAGUCAGUUGUGAAAGUUUGCGGCUCAACCGUAAAAUUGCAAUUGAUACUGGCAGUCUUGAGUACAGUUGAGGUAGGCGGAAUGCGUGGUGUAGCGGUGAAAUGCUUAGAUAUCACGAAGAACCCCGAUUGCGAAGGCAGCUUACUAAACUGCGACUGACAUUGAUGCUCGAAAGUGUGGGUAGCAAACAGGAUUAGAUACCCGAGUAGUC